rnacentral:rRNA from 1 species
GAUGAACGCUAGCGACAGGCCUAACACAUGCAAGUCGAGGGGCAUCGGGGCGUAGCAAUACGCUGCCGGCGACCGGCGGAUGGGUGAGUAACGCGUAUGCAACCUGCCUUCAGCAGGGGGAUAGCCCGUUGAAAGACGGAUUAAUACCCCGUAACACAGGGGCUCCGCAUGGAGAUUAUUGUUAAAGGGAUACUUCCUUCGGGGGGUAUUCCGGCUGAAGAUGGGCAUGCGUUCCAUUAGGUAGUUGGUUGAGGUAACGGCUCACCAAGCCUACGAUGGAUAGGGGAACUGAGAGGUUGGUCCCCCACACUGGUACUGAGACACGGACCAGACUCCUACGGGAGGCAGCAGUGAGGAAUCUUGGUCAAUGGACGGAAGUCUGAACCAGCCAUGUCGCGUGAAGGAGGACGGCCCUAAGGGUUGUAAACUUCUUUUGCAGCGGAAUAAAGUAUUCCACGUGAUGGGAUAUUGCAAGUACGCUGCGAAUAAGGAUCGGCUAACUCCGUGCC